ensembl:lncRNA
CUAAAAUUCUCUGGAAAUGAAAGCAGGCCUUUAGUCUGUGUAAGAAAAGAUGAGGCUGGAUGAAAGCAUUUCUCACCUGCGUUGGAGGCAACCAGAAUGGGUUAUCUUCCUUCUCUCUGGGUGGCCCCAGUCACCCAGUAGGGCUGUGGCUCUGCAGAGGGUCCCCAUAGCCCUACUGGUGUUUUGUGUGUGCUGGAACCCCUAUGGCUUGAGCUCAGAGCCUUGCAUGGGCUAAGGCAGAGUUUUGCCAGCAGUUCUCCCCUCCCAGUGCAGUGACCUCAUGCUUGGCAACCUGGGCUGCUGCUGCCCACCUGGUAUAAGAACAUCCAGAACCCACUGCAAGGUGUCCUUCUUAACAAGAAGAGUUAAGAUCUCGUUUCUCCAGACAAUUUUGCAUCUAGUCAUGAAGUGCUGCCACUACCCCAAAGAAGCAAAGACUUGCAGAUCAAGAUAGUCGUAGAACAAGGAGGAAUGGAUUUAAACUAAAAUAGAGGACAUUUAGGUCAGAUGUGAGGAGGAGAUUUUUUACUCAGAAGGCAGUGAGGCACUGCCAUCCAGACCUAUGUGUGCCCCAUCCCUGGAGGUGCCCAAGGCCAUGGAUGAGGCCCUGGGCAUCCUGAUCUUCUGGGGGGCACCCAGCCCAUGGCAGCAGUGGGGAUGGAGGGGCUGUGAGGCCCUUCCAACCCAACCAUUCCGGGAUUCUAUGACAAAUGCAGAUCCCUUUAUUGGGCUCCAUCUGACAGCCCCUGUUUCUCAGUCCCAAGGCAGUGCCCAUUGGCUUCUGCACCGGUUUGGAGACAGCUGCCACAUCUGUGAGCCAUCAGUGAGCGCGCACCCUGAUGGCCCAUCCUCAGAGGGCUACAAAGAAGCAGGAAAAUGCUCGAAGACUCUCAAGGUAAUCCAAAAAUAUCUGAGGAAACCUUCACCUGCACCAAAAGUUCUUUCAGUACUAAACAACAUCACAGGACAAUGGGAAGCUUCCCAGCAGCCGGGUCCUCCAUCAGCACAAUAGCCUCUGUCUGUGCUGUUUCCCAGAUAACUCUGUUCUCUCCCCUAACCCUGAUCAGGAGCCAACUCAAAGCUCUGAGGCACCGCCGUCCUUUGCCAUCCACCUCUUGCCUUGGAACAGGAGCUGAGAUAGGUCAGACUGAUGCAGAAAAGCGCAGUUUCCCAUAGCUUAUGACUGCUGAUUUAUCAACGCCUUUCCGAGAACAAAGCAGCCCAGGUACCUCCCUGAGUGAACCAGCAGAGAGCAAGCUGGAAACAUUUCAAAGUCCUUCCAAAAAUUCCAAGCUGAAAGGCAGCCAAAUCCCCGCAGUGGAGCGGAGAUCGCUAGGAAUGACUGAGUUUGCUGGGAGACGCCGUUGCUGCACAGCGCCUGAGAUUGAUGCUGAGCCCCUGAGACGUAGGAGCCGCGCUACCAUCUCUUUUCCAAUCCCUCAUGACUUCUUUCUGCUCACCUAAAACAAAUGUUCGCAGUUAUUUUAGAUAAAGAAUGAUAGCAAACAAUAAACAGUUGCAAGGAUCGCUGCUUUAAAUCCAUGCAUGAGUGAGUGAAUUCACUGUGGGUGGGGAGAGCUGGGGAGAGGGUUUG